rnacentral:rRNA from 1 species
UACCAGCACCCCGAGUGGUCGGGACGUUUUAUUGGGCCUAAAGCAUCCGUAGCCGGUUCUACAAGUCUUCCGUUAAAUCCAACUGCUUAACAGGUGGGCUGCGGAAGAUACUAUAGAGCUAGGAGGCGGGAGAGGCAAGCGGUACUCGAUGGGUAGGGGUAAAAUCCGUUGAUCCAUUGAAGACCACCAGUGGCGAAGGCGGCUUGCCAGAACGCGCUCGACGGUGAGGGAUGAAAGCUGGGAG